CCACAACCUUCCCUCUGGUGAUCAGAUUGCAGAAGAACUGUGACAUCAGAACUAUAGAUUGAGGCUAAGAUACGCACAGGAAGAGACGACGAGUCUACAGAGUCUUGAGAAUGGAGAAAGGGAAAGGCUUGGCGGUGAUGGGCCGAAGAUGGGCCGUGGAUUUCACCGGCGUUUCCACCUUUCCUUCCUCUCGGGACACUCCUGAUCCCCCCGGCUUCUUUCGUGCUUCUCUCGAUCAGGAUGAUUCAACGGUGAGUCGUCAAAAGAAAGAUGCUGAGUUAAACUGGAAGGCUCAGAAAGCGUGGGAAGUGGCACUAGCCCCUUUCAAGAAUUUGCUAAUGAUGGGCUUCAUGAUGUGGAUGGCUGGAAGUACUGUGCACUUGUUUAGCAUCGGUAUCACAUUUUCGGCUCUUUGGCAACCAAUACAUGCUCUUCAAGCAGUUGGGAAAGUUUUUGAGCCUUACAAGGAUGGUAAACUUGACCUUCUUGGGACCAGACUACUGUUCAUUGCCCUCAAUUUGGGGGGCUUAGCACUAGGCGUAUGGAAGCUUAAUACAUUGGGUCUUCUUCCAACCCAUGCAUCAGACUGGGUUUCAUCCUUACCCCCUGCUCAGGUCAUAUGGCAUUUGGAGAGUUCUUCAUGCUUGCCCAAGGCACGAGGAGGUGUGGUUUCAAUACAAUUUCAAAUAUCAUCUAGUCCAUUUGUUUGAAUCUGUGUUUACGACUUCAAAUGAUACGUCGGUCUGUUCGAAUCUAAUCUGUUGUCGAGUACUCUGGGGGUGGAUUGCCUUUGCAGUAAGAUGCUUGAUCGGUUCAACCUCUAGAAGAUGGUAAAAUGUCACCACUGACUUUGUAUCUCGGUGUGCAUCGAAGCAGAAAGGAAGCUUGGGUACUCUACUAUGCGCAUCGAUCGCAUUACAUGCUUUGCCAGUUAUGAUCUAGUUGACUGCAAAUCUCAUUGUUGGAUCAUCAAGUAUCUUUGUGUAGAGUCUUGGGAUGCUCCUCAUGCUUUCACUGUUUUGGGGCUCUGUCCACUUUGUUUGCUGACAAUGGGAACUAGGAAAUGCCUAAUGUGCUGCAAAUAUUGUUGUGCAAAUGGACAAUCAAGAAGUUUGUAGGGCAUCUGAGGGUGUAUUAGAUCUGGACAUCUUUGUUUUUGUUAGCCUAAUUGAUGUUAAUAGGUCUCUGUGAUGCUUUGUGAAGCAACUCUUGCUUAUGACAUUAUUUUGAACUUUUAUGUUAUUUCUUGGUGGUUUGUCUGCA